rnacentral:rRNA from 1 species
CCUACGGGAGGCUGCAGUGAGGAAUAUUGGUCAAUGGUCGGGAGACUGAACCAGCCAAGCCGCGUGAGGGAUGAAGGUACAGAGUAUCGUAAACCUCUUUUGUCAGGGAACAAAGGCGGGGACGUGUCCCCGGAUGAGUGUACCUGAAGAAAAAGCAUCGGCUAACUCCGUCCCAGCAGCCGCGGUAAUACGGAGGAUGCGAGCGUUAUCCGGAUUUAUUGGGUUUAAAGGGUGCGCAGGCGGUCUGUUAAGUCAGCGGGCAAAGCCCGGGGCUCAACCCCGGCCCGCCGUUGAAACUGGCAGUCUCGAGUUGGAGAGAAGGAUGCGGAAUGCGCGGUGUAGCGGUGAAAUGCAUAGAUAUCGCGCAGAACUCCGAUUGCGAAGGCAGCAUGCCGGCUCCACACUGACGCUGAGGCACGAAAGCGUGGGUAUCGAACAGGAUUAGAUACCCUUGUAGUC